CUACAUGACGUCACUUACAUCGAUCGGUGCUGAUUUUUGCGUCCGCCAUUACUCCACUUCAGAAGACAACGUACACCGUGGUCCAGAAGAUUUCACCGAAACGCCGGUUUGCACGAGGUCUCUGAUGAGGUCACAGCUGUAUCCAUUUUACUGAACUGGGUUGCUCAGAAGGAUGAAGCUGGACUCGCCCUUGCGAAAUGUACAAUGGCAGUGUUUGUCAUCAGAUGGCGAAGAGGACACUCUACAGGCACCAUAUGACAUUGGGAUUGUCAUUGAAGGUGUGAAAGUCCUUAAUGAGUUGCCAUCAAUCGCACAUGCAUGUGCUAUGGUAUUUGGCUUGAUCUAUACGCUCAACUUGAGCUAUCCUGUAGAGCUCAAAUACACCUUUGAUGCACUGUAAAAACUUCAUGGAGAUAGAACCAAAGAAAAUGACACGUAGAGUCUGUAGUCUCAGUAUCAAGCUCUAAGCUUUAGAUCAUUCACAGAGACAUUUGGACUCUGCCUUUUGUCUUUUAUAGUUUAUUUGCAUUCACAUACACUCUAGGGAAGUGUUAAAUAAUUUUUGUUAGUUGCAUCGAGAAGGAACAGACCUUUAAAGACAAACUAAGUAUCUGUCUUCUUUUUUUUAAUUGUUUAAAUGGUCAUUCAUCUUAGACAUGUUUGCACGGUGUUCUAAAUGUUAUUGUUAAAGCUGUUACAUUAUCAAUCUCAACUUUGUGUGAGUGAGAUGUUCAAAUUGAGUGUAUUUUUGAAGAAGUGUGACAACGAGUUUAUUGAUGAAGGUUGGGUAGGUAUUGGAAGGACAAUCACUUCGCCUAAUGUUUGGUGUAUUUUUAUUUUAUUUCCAUUUUUUUAGCAAGUACUGUGUAAAUAACACGGAAGUGCUUUACUUUUUAUUGUACUUUUUUUUGUACAUGAAAAAGUCUUUGUUCAAAAAACACACCAUAAUAUAUGGGGAGACAUCUUUAUUUCUAGCAUGUUGAUUUUGAAAAUAUCUUGGUUUUAAGAAAUUCUUUGUUUUUUGUAAAACGAGAGCCUUGUGAAUUUGAAGAAAUAAAGGUUUCUAUGCAUAA